rnacentral:tRNA from 1 species
GCCUCUGUAGCUCAGUUGGUUAGAGCGCUGCAUCGGAAUCGCAGGGCCGUAGGUUCGAUUCCUAUCAGAGGAC